AAAACACUUUCCUCAAUCUUCACGCCUCACUCUCUCCUCAUUUCCUUGAUUCCGCAUCUCUGUGUUUCCCCAUUCAAACCCAACCUCUCCUUAAUUCCUCCGCCUCUCCUCUCUCUCUGGCUCUCAUUUUCCCAAUCGAACCGAGCCUCUCUUCAACCUUAGGCUCUCUCUCUCUUUCUAUAUUUUUCCAAAAUUUUGCUAUUUCCCUCUCUCUCUGUCUCUCUAGCCUCUCAUCUCAAUUCUCAAGUCAUGCAAAAACAGAAUUUGCAAAUCCUUCCCCUUCAAAUCUCACACACACUGCAAAUAGGUGGGUCUCAACUCAAGUCUUUAGUCCAGUUCACACAUUCUCAUAGACUCUGCAAAUCCCUCUCCUUCACACAUAAUUUGCAAAUCAGUCGGCCUCAACUCUUAUCUCAUCCAUAGUUCCCCUUCAGUUCAGUGCCUGCAUAAUGUGAUUCCUUCCUCUCCACUUCGUUCCAGGUAAAAUGGUAACAAUUUAGAACUUGUAAUGCUUAAUUUAGUUAAUAAUUUGUGAUUAAUUUUAGGGUUAGGGUUCGUUUGAAACACAAGGCAACUGUGCUUUUUUCUCUUUUGGGCUAUAAUCAAAAGGGGAUUUUAUCUGGUUCAGAUUCAAACAGACCCAUUUUUGCUUCGAAUGGAAAGUGACCUGUUGUCACUUCAAAUAGGUUUAGACUGGAAGGUGAUUGGCUAUUUUUAUGAAUUAACAAAUAUUGAGUUGUAUAUGUACUAAUUAAUUUAUUAGCCAAUGGUAUAUUUGGCUUUGGAAAGCUGCUAUUCAGUUUGAAGCUUCUAUAUGUGACAUGGUUUUUCGUAUUUUUUACUAUGCAUUUGAGGGUUUCUUGUUUCUUGAUGUUACUUGGUUGAUAUAAGCGGCACGGAUGAUUACUGGAAGAGGCAAGAUGCAGCACAAGUUAUGGCUCUAUUAGUUUGGGAAGGACUUGGGCUUGAAGGGGGAGCAGCUGUUGGAAACUGGAACGGGGAGAAGGAUAAGAAUAAAGUUCUUCUUGGAUUAGGCGGUGGACAUUAUGCUCCUCGGCAUAUAGAUAUUGUUCUGUAAGUUAUAGUCACCUUACAGUUCAUCCAUUUUCUUUCAAAUAUAUAGCAUUGAUUUCUUAGUGGCAAUGUGGCAUGGCAUCCAGCUUUAUUCUUUGUUUCCUUCUGUGUGCGGUUUGAUGCAUAACUUAUUAACUGUAAACUGAACCUCUUUAUUUUGAUUGAUCCUGUCAAAGUAAAUAUGGUAAAUAAGUCUGCUAUAAACGAAUGGGAUUACUAGACUGUAGAUGAUACUUUCUUCAUCCCGUUCAGAACUUUGAGCUUUUGCUUCCUCCUUCCUUUUCUCUGUCUCUGCAGCUUCUGUAACACCCAUAAGUCCCGCAUUACCCUCCCAGCCCCUUCUUGCUUCCUCUUCCAUCUCUAUCAAAUGAACUGGCAUUGAUAGUACUUUGAUCUGUUAUUGUCAAAUUGCUCUGGUACUGGAAGUGGCAAAUGAUUUAUUUGUUCAAGUCUCUUCCAAAUUUUCUCCUAAUCUUCCCUUUAUAGUUAAUUUUAUUUCCAACUAGCUCUUGUAUGCUCUCGUCAAAUUGCUUGAUAUGAUGUUGUUAACUUCCAACUAGCUUUCAACUUUGGCAAACUAUAUGUAAGCUAUAAGAAAGCUAGUAUUUAGCAACUGUAAGAAUCCAGCUACAAUUCAUUGUUGUGACUUAUGAAAUUCCUAUUACCUUACUCUUGCUAAGGGUGUUGAUAUCAUAUAUAUUCAUUUGUUUCCUUAAUUUGAAGUUUUAUUUUUAAUGGGUUAAACAAAUAAUGAUGAGAAUUGAAUUUUUAAGUAAAGUACUUGUUUGGCGUGUUUGUGGUGUUAUAGGAAGCAGGGUCUCAGAUAAAUUUGUAGAACAUUAAUUGAAAGGAAGAUGGGUUAAGCGUUUAUGGUUUUUGUAAUUCCAAAUUUCAAAUUUGUUUUAUUCUAUUUCUGAAUAUGUAGUUUUAACAUUUUUGAGGGUACAAUGCAUGUUAAUUCUAAGAAGAGGAGAUUUGAAUUUGUAAAGUGCAGGUCUCCAACUGCUCCGCUCUCUUAGUGUAAGUACAUCUCUGCAUAUCUUUAUUUCCUCAAUUAUAUUUGACUUUGUUAUGUUGGGUUCCCAAAUUAAAGAUCUUAUACAAUCUUUUUGUAGCUUUCUAAAGUUUGGAAUUUUCUUGAUAUGUGCUUACAUGGUGCUUAACUUGGUUUGUGCUUACUUUCCGUUUCAUGGUUGUAGGCUGUUUUCAUUUUAUGAAAAUUUAAAUUUUUGCAUUUCCUCAAUUCAGUUUUAGUUUUUUAAAUUUUGAUUUUUUUUAAUAUUUAUUUCUUGCUGGCACAAUUAUAAUGUAAGUGUCAAUAUGGCUGGAAAAGGUCUUUUGAUAAAGUAGUCAGAAACAGGCACAAAUAGUGGUCUGCCUGUUUGAGCACCAAACAGUGUAUUGUGCCCUUUUAGUAAAGGUGACGCCCAUAGAGGGCACAAAUACAAAUAUAGUUGCUGCACUGUUGCUAUUGGUCUAUGGGCACAUAUGUUGGUGCUCUUUGGCCUCAAAGAGCACAUAUAAUUUAUUGUGCGCAGUGCUCAUCUUUUUUGUAGUGAUGAGGCUUUCCAAUGCUACCAUUGCUUUAGAGAAAUAAAGUGAACAAUUCAGAAAGCUCUUUUGAUAUAUUCCAGAUGUUAAUUUAUGCGCAGUAUUACUGAAACUUACAGGUCUACUGGGGCAACUUGUUUAGAUUUCUAAAUUUUCAGACUUUAACAGAAGUUCGUUAACGUUGUACUGGCAAUGUUUCGUUAGUUGAUUUUCGAACGUUGUUGUUUCAAUGUUUCCAUGUUCCAUUGUGGAUCAGUAUGUCCAUGGAGCAUAUGCGAAUUAGGCAGUUGAUCAGAGGACUGUGCUCUCCCUUUACACUCAAGUUUGAAUUUUCUUAAUUACCGUAGAGAUGAAAGGUUUUGUAUAACCUUGUGUAUCAGACUUUCUACAAGUUGUUCCAAAGUCGAAGCUUUCAAUUUCUACAUUCUACGAAAA